UACGAAGGGGGCUAGCGUUGCUCGGAAUCACUGGGCGUAAAGGGUGCGUAGGCGGGUCUUUAAGUCAGGGGUGAAAUCCUGGAGCUCAACUCCAGAACUGCCUUUGAUACUGAGGAUCUUGAGUUCGGGAGAGGUGAGUGGAACUGCGAGUGUAGAGGUGAAAUUCGUAGAUAUUCGCAAGAACACCAGUGGCGAAGGCGACUUACUGGACACAUAUUGACGCUGAGGUGCGAAAGCGUGGGGAGCAAACAGA
rnacentral:rRNA from 1 species